UGUCUUUUGAGAUGUGACAUCAAUCAUCAUUUAUUACUGAAAGAACACUGGUUCACAUAUACAAACAUUCACAUACUUCCUUUUUACUCGCAGUCACAUACACACAUAUACUCACACAGAGUUGAAACGUUGUUUGAUUUUUCUUUUCACUUUAGAAUUUCCAAUAU